UCCUGUUUUGUAAUGCUGUUGCUGAUUAUAAUGAAGCUAGUGUUCUGUUUUUGACUCCCUCAAUGUAUCAAUUAAAAAGAACACAGUGUGCAUACGUGAAAGCUCCCCAAAUCAAUCCAGAUGAUGCCAGUUCCCUUUUCUCCCCCACAGUAUCGCUCGUUUGGCAACAGAAAAAUAGCCUGAGUUUUCAUGCACUUAGAAAUGCCGGCAUGGGAGACGAGUGGGAGCAGGAUCCAUAAUGGCCGAUUUCCCUUCGCUGGGGCCAAAUCCCCAGCAAAUAAUGGCAGUCACUAUCCCACAAAACUUUGAUUGGGAACAUCAUCGACAGUGCAGUACCAACAGCAUGGUGUGAAUUAUUACUAAAACCUGAGAUUUACUGCUGGAAUGGAGUUGCAGGGCAUAACUCCAUUAAAGUCUAAAAUCAAGUGCUCGGGGGAUCAGCGGGAUAGAUAGAGAUGGAUUCGCCAGCCACUGCUGUGCUGCAAGAUUUUGGCGUUGAGAGGGAAAAUAAAUCAGCCAUGUUUGAAUGACGGAGCAGAUUCUUGUUAUGACAUUAUCAGAAUUGCAACCAUACUCACUGGAUAAGGUAUACCUCGGGCUGGUAUACAUUCGCCUGAAGAGGAACUUGUUCAGAAGGAAAAAGCAAACACAGAUUGUUGCAUUACAUCAGUACGUCACAGUAAUGCAGUGGAAAACAACGGAAUGCAAAAUAAAUUGCUGCAGUUAUGGAGGAAGUACAGUGCAGGUAGAAAAUAUGGGCUAGAUUCUGAGAUCAAGUCCAUCUUGAUCUCAAGAAGGAGGGAGGAGAAUAUGGCGGCGCGACGCAGUGCG